rnacentral:misc_RNA from 1 species
GAUGAAGAACGUAGCGAAAUGCGAUACGUAAUGUGAAUUGCAAAUUCAGUGAAUCAUCGAAUCUUUGAACGCACAUUGCGCCCGCCAGUAUUCUGGCGGGCAUGCCUGUCUGAGCGUCAUUUCAACCCUCAUGCCCCUAGGGCGUGGUGUUGGGGAUCGGCCAAAGCCCGCGAGGGACGGCCGGCCCCUAAAUCUAGUGGCGGACCCGUCGUGGCCUCCUCUGCGAAGUAGUGAUAUUCCGCAUCGGAGAGCGAUGAGCCCCUGCCGUUAAACCCCCAACUUUCCAAGGUUGACCUCAGAUCAGGUAGGAAUACCCGCUGAACUUAAGCAUAUCAAUAAGCGGAGGA